ACCCAUCCCUACUACAAAACCUAAAUUAUUUUUCCAUCCCCAUCUCACCAAUCUCUCUAUCUAUCUCUCUACACUCCCGAUCACGAAAAUCACCCUCGUGGGUCAUUCGAUCCACUUGGUGACACCCACAACAUAUAACACCCAACAACCAACGACUUAUCCAAGUCCUAAGCACCAUAACCACCACAUCAAUGGUUGCUGCCUGCAAUCAAAAGAACCAUCCCCACUCAUAACCUCCACCAUUCAAUUCACAGUUUUCCCAAUUUGGCUCCUCGUGGGCAACAAGCUUCGUUGCCUCUGCAAUGUACAGCGAUCUCGUACAAACUGGCUCUUUACAAAUGGCCCUCAAUUCUCCAUCUUAGAAGGCGAUAACGCUCAUAGGUGGUGCUGUAAACGUCGAAGCUUUGAAACGAUUAGUCCAACUUCAGAUCUGGCAAUCGUUGUUAGAGGUGCGGCACGGUGAUGUUGUGGUGUAGUAUGAGUUUUGCUACACGUACACCGGAAUUCACACUCCCCUCAUAUGGGGAGAUCCCACAAUUUUUUUAUUGUCGUGGGGCUCAUCCCCUCACGUGAAAAGAGUGUACAUCGGAGUGUCAAUCUUGGUGUACAAAUAGCAUUUUCCGGUGUAGUAUUGUUAGUGAUUGUGGUUUGGUAAAGGAGGAUAUGAUGUUGGAUUUGAUGCCGUGGUGGCAACGAUUGUGCUUUCGCUUGUGGAGUGGGUAACCCAUUAGAUGGUCUCGUUGGUGUUUUUGCAAAUGGGUAGUGGUGUGGUUUGGUGGUGGUGGCUGCAAGGGACAUGGUGGUCGUGAAAAGACUUUCAGACUCAGAGAAAUCAACGGCAAAACUUACAUGUUCAACGGUGGUGGUCGGAGCUAAUGUGGUGGCCAUCCUCACCAAUUCACUGUCAACAAUCCACCUCUUAAUUCACCGCUCCUUUUUGUUUAGGUACCAUGUUGGUUAACAUAUGAUUAUCCACAAGACGCCAGGGAAAAACUUAGGCAUCGAUGGGGUUCAGACUGGAAAGGUCAAGCACAAAAAUGGAUGAAGAAAUCAAUCUUUUGGGUGAUGGGUCUGAGAAGCCUGAAUUCGGAGAAUGAUCAUGGCUGUCACCAGAAGAAAUAAUCAACGUCGCAGUGGGUUUCAAGAAGCCUGUAUAUCAGGAAGUUUUGACAACUUUCUCUCCACAUCUUGAGUAGAACAUUAAAGGUCGAUUUUUGUUCAAGGAACUGUUUUUCUGCCGAUUUGGGGGAAAUAUGCAAGGCCAUCAACUCACCUAAGAUUCUUGUAUUACAUUAGAGUUUUACUACACGUACUUCGGGGUUGACACUCCGGUGUACACUCCCCUCACCUGGGAGAUUCCAAAAUUUUUUUUAUUGUCAUGGGGCCCAUCCCCUCAUGUGAGGGGAGUGUUAACCUCGAUGUACAAAUAGCAUUUUCCUUUUCUAUGUCACUGUGAGGUAGCAUGGAAAAAUUUGCACCGCUAAUACGGACGUCUUUGUUUGAAGUCACAUACUCACAAUUUCAUUUGUAAUUUUGAGACAGGUUAUGGAGAGUUGAGUAGGAUUGUCUGCUCUCAUUUUCUCCUAUGACAAAUUUGUCCGGGAUAUGGACUUAUGCUAUGAUUUAAAUCAUGCUCAUGUUUGUCAAAUUAAUUUGUAUUUGUGGUAAUAUAAGUGGAAAUAAAGGCUCUAUGUUUAUCGAA